GACGAACGCUGGCGGCGUGCUUAACACAUGCAAGUCGAACGGAAAGGCCCUGCUUGCAGGGUACUCGAGUGGCGAACGGGUGAGUAACACGUGGGUGAUCUGCCCUGCACUUCGGGAUAAGCCUGGGAAACUGGGUCUAAUACCGGAUAGGAGCCAUUUUUAGUGUGAUGGUUGGAAAGUUUUUUCGGUGUAGGAUGAGCUCGCGGCCUAUCAGCUUGUUGGUGGGGUAAUGGCCUACCAAGGCGGCGACGGGUAGCCGGCCUGAGAGGGUGGACGGCCACAUUGGGACUGAGAUACGGCCCAGACUCCUACGGGAGGCAGCAGUGGGGAAUAUUGCACAAUGGGCGCAAGCCUGAUGCAGCGACGCCGCGUGGGGGAUGACGGCCUUCGGGUUGUAAACACCUUUCGCUAGGGACGAAGCUUUUUGUGACGGUACCUAGAGAAGAAGCACCGGCUAACUACGUG
rnacentral:rRNA from 1 species